rnacentral:rRNA from 1 species
GAUGAACGCUGGCGGCGUGCCUAAUACAUGCAAGUCGAGCGAAUGGAUUAAGAGCUUGCUCUUAUGAAGUUAGCGGCGGACGGGUGAGUAACACGUGGGUAACCUGCCCAUAAGACUGGGAUAACUCCGGGAAACCGGGGCUAAUACCGGAUAACAUUUUGAACCGCAUGGUUCGAAAUUGAAAGGCGGCUUCGGCUGUCACUUAUGGAUGGACCCGCGUCGCAUUAGCUAGUUGGUGAGGUAACGGCUCACCAAGGCAACGAUGCGUAGCCGACCUGAGAGGGUGAUCGGCCACACUGGGACUGAGACACGGCCCAGACUCCUACGGGAGGCAGCAGUAGGGAAUCUUCCGCAAUGGACGAAAGUCUGGCGGAGCAACGCCGCGUGAGUGAUGAAGGCUUUCGGGUCGUAAAACUCUGUUGUUAGGGAAGAACAAGUACUAGUUGAAUAAGCUGGCACCUUGACGGUACCUAACCAGAAAGCCACGGCUAACUACGUGCCAGCCGCCGCGGUAA